AGACUACUCAUAAUGCCAAUAAUGGAUGCCUAGGAGAUUUUGGCCGAGGAAGGACGCAUAUGGCGGCGAUACUCGUCGGGUAGGUGCCAUAAACCUAUUAUCCGGCGGUUUCCGAAUGGAGCAAUCCACCGCGUUUUACGCGGUAGCCACUCAUAAAAAUAGUCUCUUUAUGGGAUUAUAUAGUGUUUGGCGGGGUACGGCGUGAACUGAAACAUCUAAUUAACGCCAGGAAAAAAAAUCAUAGAGAUUCCCCAAGUAGCGGUGAGCGAAAAGGGAACAGUCUAAACUCGCUUGUGCGUUGCACAAGAAUUUUUAAGUAACAAUUUUCAAUUUUCAUUGAAUUUUCAUUUGUUUAAUUUUUAAAAUUUUUGAACAUUUGGAUUUGAUUAGAAAUUAGAAAUUAAGAAUUAGAAAUUCUCGCGCAGCGUGCGAGUGGGGGUUGCAGGGCAGACGAUAUUCGAUGCAAGCAUGGAUAGCAGAAGGACCCGGAAUGGUCCCCCAAAGUACGUGAAAGGCGUGUACGCAAAAUUUAUGCAAGACUAAAUACCGAAAUCUACCGAUAGUGAACUAGUACCGUGAGGGAAAGGUGAAAAGCACCCCGAGAGGGGGAUGAAAUAGACCUGAAAUUAUUGGCUAACAAGCAGAGAGAGCUUGUCCAUAGGACAAGAAUUUUCAAGUAUCAAUUUUCAAUUUUCAUUGAAUUUUCAAUGUUUCAUUUUUAAAAUUUUGAACAUUAGAAUUUGAUUGUAAAUUGUAAAUUGUAAAUUGGUAAUUCUCGCCUUGUGGGCGGGUGAUCUCGUGCCUAUUGAAGAAUGAACCGGUGAGUUAUUCAACACUUUUUGUCUAACCAAUUAAGUUGGGAAGGCGUAGUGAAAGCGUGCUCUAAAUGAGCGAUUUUACAGAGUGUGGAAUAGACCCGAAACCGGGUGAGCUAACCUUGAGCAGGGUGAAUGCUGGCGAAAGCUCAGCAGGAGGCCCGAACUCGUAUCCGUAGCAAUGGGUUGAGAUGA
rfam:Microgenomates (Levybacteria) bacterium GW2011_GWA1_39_34 TT46_C0012, whole genome shotgun sequence.